GGUUAUUCUUGCUUAUUUUACCUAAUAAUUGAAUGGUUAAGGUUAUUCUUGCUUAUUUUACCAAAUAAUUGAAUGGUUAAGGUUACUUUUCUUACUGGCAUAUUUUGCUGAAGUUCAUCUGGCAAGAUAGUUAUUUGAAAAUCAGAUUUUCAUGUUCAUUUGUCUGGUAUAUUUGACUGAAAAAUGUCUUUCUCCUGUUUUUACGAGUAAAGUUUUCAUGUUCAUUUGUCUGGCAUAUUUGACUGAAAAAUGUCUUUCUCCUGUUUUUAUGAGUAAAGUUUUCAUGUCCAUUUGCCUUAUAUACAUAAAUUUAGAAAUAUAUUUUUUGUGUGUGUUUAGGUUGUUUGUCCUGAUGACAUCAAAUACAUUUUGAAUAUAGAACCACUCCUACCCCUCUUUUUAAUACUUUAUCUCUAUUGAAUAACCUUAUAUUUCAAAGAAAUUCAUGUAAUUAAAAGUGCUUACAUUUAAUUAUGUUUCAGCUAUUCCUAUGACUUCAAAAUCCCCUGUACCCACUUAGUGUUUUUAAUUCUUUUUCAUUUCUUAUUCUUUUAAAAUUACAAUAACAACAGUUUAGCAUACCCCUGAAACUACUUCUGUUAGUUUAUUCUGACCCUCACCACUGUCUAGUUCCAGUUUAAAGCUGCUUUUAGAGUCAAGUUAAUAGCCCUUGCAAAUAAGCCAAGCUCUACUCUAUUUAAAUGUAAAUCAUCCAUUCCAAAAAGCUUCCUUUUCCCACUGAACUGAUCCCACAAAUCCAACCAGCCAACCUGUUUGUCCUUACAUAUUGACCUAAGCCUGUCAUUUUUUCCCUCUUGACCAAAUUCUGAAGAAAUUAAGCUAUUAUGGCCCUUUUCUUUAAAUGAUUUUAUCAAUUACUUGUACUCAUCAUGGGAAAUGAAAGUGUUUGGUGCUUUGAUAAUAUUUUGUACUAGAUCAGACGUUGCAAUCCAUACUUUGAGUACUGCUGAAGGAUUCAUAGCCUUCUACAGGAGAAGGCUUUCUUUAAAAAAAGUUGCUGGUAGCUGUUUACUCUCAUGCAGUACCAAAAUUAAUAAUGACUUGUUACUGUUGAAAUUGUUUACUUGACUGUAGUAGAGCAGAAAAUAUUGAACAUUUUAAAUGUAAUGAGGUUCCAAAUUGAAUUAUUAUUUUUUCAUGCAAAGUUACCUUCUACUAAUGAUAUUAAGAAUUUAAUUCUAUUGGUGAAAAGUUAAUUAAAAAUGAAAAACACUUUAAAACUUGGUUUUCAAUCUUGAUU